rnacentral:lncRNA from 1 species
UGAGAGUAAGAGUACCAAAGGUGAAAUUGCUAAUUUAGUCAUACUCAUUUGGUUGAAAAACAAGUUGUUAUGGGCUGAGAAAUUUGAUUUCAUUGUCUGUAGUGACAAUGAUCAUGCAAAAGUUCUUACGGUUUUAUCCUUACUAUUUACUUGUGAAAAGAUGAAAUACUUUAAGUUUGAAUUGUGUUCGGAUAGCAAAAAUAUAUGUGGU